GGUCAAGUUAUUAAGGGUGCAGGGCGGAUGCCUUGGCACUAGGAGCCGAUGAAGGACGUGAUAAGCUGCGAUAAGCUUCGGGGAGUUGCACGUAAACUUUGAUCCGAAGAUUUCCGAAUGAGGAAACUCACUUAGAGUAAUGUCUAAGUAUCAUUAAGUGAAUACAUAGCUUAAUGAGGGGAACUCAGGGAACUGAAACAUCUAAGUACCUGAAGGAAGAGAAAGAAAUUCGAUUCCGUAAGUAGCGGCGAGCGAACGCGGAUUAGCCCAAACCAAUAAAGUUUUCUUUAUUGGGGUUGCGGACAUAUCAUAACGAAGAGGUAUCGUAAUUGAAGAGGUUUGGAAAGACCCACCACAGAAGGUAAUAGUCCUGUAUGUUAAACGAGAAGACUUUAGAUAUGAUCCAGAGUACCACGGGACACGUGAAACCCUGUGGGAAGCAGGAGGGACCACCCUCCAAGGCUAAAUACUACCUAGUGACCGAUAGCGUAUAGUACCGUGAGGGAAAGGUGAAAAGAACCCCGGGAGGGGAGUGAAAUAGAACCUGAAACCCUGCACUUACAAGCUGUGGAAGCACAUUUCUUGUGUGACCGCGUACUUUUUGUAGAACGGGCCAACGAGUUACGUUAAGUAGCAAGGUUAAGCACUUAAGGUGCGGAGCCGUAGCGAAAGCGAGUUUUAACUGAGCGUUCAGUUACUUGACGUAGACCCGAAACCGGGCGACCUACCCAUGAGCAGGAUGAAGCGAAAGUAAAAUUUCGUGGAGGUCCGAACCCACGAGCGUUGAAAAGCUCGGGGAUGACUUGUGGGUAGCGGUGAAAUUCCAAUCGAGCCCGGAGAUAGCUGGUUCUCCCCGAAAUAGCUUUAGGGCUAGCCUCAAGGUGAGAGAUACGGAGGUAGAGCACUGAAUGUCCUAGGGGGUAUUGCACCUACCGAAGACUAUCAAACUCCGAAUGCCGUCAUCUUAUACUUGGGAGUCAGACUGUGGGUGAUAAGAUUCAUAGUCGAAAGGGCAACAGCCCAGAUCGUCAGCUAAGGUCCCUAAAUGUAAGUUAAGUGGUAAAGGAUGUGGGAUUGCACAGACAACCAGGAUGUUGGCUUAGAAGCAGCCACUCAUUCAAAGAGUGCGUAAUAGCUCACUGGUCGAGUGAUCCUGCGCCGAAGAUUUCCGGGGCUAAAACUUACUACCGAAGCUACGGCAUCAGUAAUGAUGGGUAGGGGAGCUUCCCAUACGGGUUGAAGCAUGACCGUAAGGACAUGUGGACAGUAUGGGAGUGAGAAUGUUGGCAUGAGUAGCGAGAUGUGGGUGAGAAUCCCACAGGCCGUAAACCCAAGGUUUCCAGGGGAAGGUUCGUCCGCCCUGGGUUAGUCGGGACCUAAGCUGAGGCCGAAAGGCGUAGGUGAUGGACAACAGGUUGAUAUUCCUGUACUACCGAUAACCGUUUGAGAGAAGGGAUGACACAGUAGGAUAAGCUAAGCACACUGUUGGUUAUGUGUGCCCAAGCAUUGAGGCAGUCAAAGUAGGCAAAUCCGCUUUGAUAAUGCUGGGAUGUGAUGGGGAGCGAAAUUUAGUAGCGAAGUAGCUGAUUUCACACUGUCAAGAAAAGUCUCUAUCGAGGUUAAAGGUACCCGUACCGCAAACCGACACAGGUGGGUGAGGAGAGUAUCCUAAGGCCAGCGAGAGAACUGUUGUUAAGGAACUCGGCAAAAUGACCCCGUAACUUAGGGAUAAGGGGUGCCACCAUCAGGUGGCCGCAGAGAAUAGGCCCAAGCGACUGUUUACCAAAAACAUAGGUUUCUGCUAAGUCGCAAGACGAUGUAUAGGAGCUGACGCCUGCCCGGUGCUGGAAGGUUAAGGGGAUCUGUUAGAGCAAUCGAAGCAGUGAACUUAAGCCCCAGUAAACGGCGGCCGUAACUAUAACGGUCCUAAGGUAGCGAAAUUCCUUGUCGGGUAAGUUCCGACCCGCACGAAAGGCGUAACGAUUUGGGCACUGUCUCAACAACAGACUCGGUGAAAUUGUAAUUCCGGUGAAGAUGCCGGAUACCUGCGACAGGACGGAAAGACCCCAUGGAGCUUUACUGUAGCUUGACAUUGGGUCUUGGUACUACAUGUACAGGAUAGGUGGGAGGCUUUGAAACCAGGACGCCAGUUUUGGCGGAGCCAUCCUUGGGAUACCACCCUUGUAGUACUGGGACUCUAACCAUAGGCCAUGAAUCUGGUCUUGGGACACUGUCAGGUGGGCAGUUUGACUGGGGCGGUCGCCUCCCAAAAGGUAACGGAGGCGCUCAAAGGUUCUCUCAGUACGGUCGGAAAUCGUACGUAGAGUGUAAAGGCAAAAGAGAGCUUGAUUGCAAGACAUACAGGUCGAGCAAGGAUGAAAAUCGGACUUAGUGAUCCGGUGGUUCUGCGUGGAAGGGCCAUCGCUCAACGGAUAAAAGCUACCCUGGGGAUAACAGGCUUAUCUCCCCCAAGAGUCCACAUCGACGGGGAGGUUUGGCACCUCGAUGUCGGCUCAUCACAUCCUGGGGCUGUAGUAGGUCCCAAGGGUUGGGCUGUUCGCCCAUUAAAGUGGUACGCGAGCUGGGUUCAGAACGUCGUG
rnacentral:rRNA from 1 species